rnacentral:tRNA from 1 species
GACAGUAUAGCUCAGUGGUAGAGCACAUGCUUAGCAUCAGGAGGGCCUAGGUUCAAUCCCCAGUACCUCCA